rnacentral:rRNA from 1 species
GGUCAAGUGGGCGAAAGCCUGAACCAGCCAUGUCGCGUGCAGGACGACUGCCCUAUGGGUUGUAAACUGCUUUUAUAUAGGGAAGAAAUGCGAGUACGUGUACUUGGUUUGCCGGUACCAUAUGAAUAAGCAUCGGCUAACUCCGUGCCAGCAGCCGCGGUAAUACGGAGGAUGCGAGCGUUAUCCGGAUUCAUUGGGUUUAAAGGGUGCGUAGGCGGAAGUGUAAGUCGAGGGGUGAAAGUUUGCAGCUCAACUGUAAAAUUGCCUUUGAUACUGCAUUUCUUGAGUACAUUUGAGGUAGGCGGAAUGUGUUGUGUAGCGGUGAAAUGCUUAGAUAUAACACAGAACACCGAUUGCGAAGGCAGCUUACUAAACUGUAACUGACGCUGAUGCACGAAAGCGUGGGGAUCGAACAGGAUUAGAUACCCUGGUAG